rnacentral:rRNA from 1 species
GCGCCUGCCGGCCGGGUCGGAGAUCUUUUACGGGACUCUCCCGGCUGCAGGACGCGGUCCGACCGUGUGCACUUUCCGCGGGCAGAGCGCCACGACCGGUUCUCGGGCGGUCAGAAGGCGGCGGGGAUGGUAGGCGUGCGCCUCGGCGCGCGCUGGUAUAGCCCCGCCUGUCCCGAUCCGCUCGGGGACCGAGGAGCCGCCGUCGGUGAUCAGGGCCGCCUCGCCCUCCUGGGAUGUCCCGACUGGCAGAGACUGGGCAACCGUGUCUGCCGACCGCUUCCCUGGAUGGACUUUGGGGUGGGCCCCGCCGGCACAGGGUCGGUGGCGAAUCGGUCGGCCCUCCACCCGACCCGUCUUGAAACACGGACCAAGGAGUCUAACAUGCGCGCGAGUCGUUGGGUCGUACGAAACCCGAAGGCGAAGUGAAAGCGAGGGCCGGUCUCUGACCGUGCUCAGGUGGGAUCCCUGGCCUCCCGGGUCGGGGCGCACCACCGGCCCGUCUCGUCCGCGCCGUCGGUGAGGCGGAGCAUGAGCGUGCACGUUGGGACCCGAAAGAUGGUGAACUAUGCCUGAGUAGGACGAAGCCAGAGGAAACUCUGGUGGAGGUCCGCAGCGAUUCUGACGUGCAAAUCGAUCGUCAAACUUGGGUAUAGGGGCGAAAGACUAAUCG